CCUACGGGUGGCAGCAGUGAGGAAUAUUGGUCAAUGGGCGUAAGCCUGAACCAGCCAAGUCGCGUGAGGGAUGAAGGUUCUAUGGAUCGUAAACCUCUUUUAUAAGGGAAUAAAGUGCGGGACGUGUCCCGUUUUGUAUGUACCUUAUGAAUAAGGAUCGGCUAACUCCGUGCCAGCAGCCGCGGUAAUACGGAGGAUCCGGGCGUUAUCCGGAUUUAUUGGGGUUAAAGGGUGCGUAGGCGGAUUUUUAAGUCAGCGGUAAAAUGUCCGGUCUCAACCCGGGCCGGCCGUUGAAACUGGGGAUCUUGAGUGAGCGAGAAGUAUGCGGAAUGCGUGGUGUAGCGGUGAAAUGCAUAGAUAUCACGCAGAACUCUGAUUGCGAAGGCAGCAUACCGGCGCUCAACUGACGCUCAUGCACGAAAGUGUGGGUAUCGAACAGGAUUAGAUACCCGGGUAGUC
rnacentral:rRNA from 1 species